AACAGCCUAGUAUAAACUUAGUACGUGUGGUUUCGGCCCACAAAGAGGGACACCCCGCCCCGGUUGGUG
rnacentral:tRNA from 1 species